rnacentral:rRNA from 1 species
GAUGAACGCUGGCGGCGUGCCUAAUACAUGCAAGUCGAGCGAACAGAUAAGGAGCUUGCCCCUUUGACGUUAGCGGCGGACGGGUGAGUAACACGUGGGUAACCUACCUAUAAGACUGGAAUAACUCCGGGAAACCGGGGCUAAUGCCGGAUAACAUUUAGAACCGCAUGGUUCUAAAGUGAAAGAUGGUUUUGCUAUCACUUAUAUAUGGACCCGCGCCGUAUUAGCUAGUUGGUAAGGUAACGGCUUACCAAGGCAACGAUACGUAGCCGACCUGAGAGGGUGAUCGGCCACACUGGAACUGAGACACGGUCCAGACUCCUACGGGAGGCAGCAGUAGGGAAUCUUCCGCAAUGGGCGAAAGCCUGACGGAGCAACGCCGCGUGAGUGAUGAAGGUCUUCGGAUCGUAAAACUCUGUUAUUAGGGAAGAACAAAUGUGUAAGUAACUGUGCACGUCUUGACGGUACCUAAUCAGAAAGCCACGGCUAACUACGUG